rnacentral:lncRNA from 1 species
GCUUCUACCUCAGGGCGACUCAGGGGCCUGCACGUCCUCAGGAAGCACUCGUUCCAAGCGAGCCUGGUCUCGCGGGAUCCCGCCUAGGCUGCGCAGAGGGUGCUGGGAGGAUACGCGUGGUGCCGGUGUGCCCCGCCGCUUCCCACACUCCCGUCCGUAAGGAGUCAGCUUCCCGCCUCCUGUCGGGCAACCCCUGAUGAUCGGGACGGGACGCCUGGGCCUCCCCUCCGCCCGCCAGAGGCCCGGUGCAGGGGCACGCACCUGGGCAGGUGCGGAGGUUCCCACGCGACCGGAAGGCUGUGUGGGAGGGGAGGGACCCUGAGCCAGGAAGGGAGGACUGCGCAUGCGCAGGCUCUAGCCGGCGGCAGCCUUCCAGGAAGGCCUGGCACGUGUUCCAAAGAUGAGGAAAGAAGGCCAUCCCCUAGACUUGUCGGCUUGGAAUUUCAGAUCACGAAGAAAGACAGGCCUGUAAGAGCUUCAGCUGAAGAAAACACUAUUUCAUUACAAAGGAACGAGAAUCCGUCUGGCAUUAGCAACCGUGGAGGCUAGAAGACAGGGAAGCGAUGCCUUCAAAGACUAUGACCAGCCGAACUCCCAGCCAAGGGUGAAAGCAAAACAAAACAAAAAUCCAGACAGGCAGGAAUCAGAUGGUUCACCCCCAUACACGUCUUUUUAGUGGAAGUUACCUGAGACUGUACUCCAGGAAAACGAAGGCAUAUCCAAGGAAAAGAAAGACAGGCUCUGGAGACAGUGAUCUCAACGUGGGAGGACAAGAAAGAGAAGUUCUAGGAUAACAGGGAUGCGGAAGACUGGAGACGAAGCCAGGCAGCGUGGAACAGGAGAAUGGAGAUCUGGGGAGACGGGGAGCUGCACGGCCGGUGUGAUGUGGAGUCUGAAAAUGUGAAGGAGGUGAUCGAGGCAAAUGAUGCAAGAAAGCCAAAAACGAUGCGUUCCUCUUCCAGUUUCAACAACGCCUCGUUAGUCAACUCCUCAGGAACCAGCUCUGGGAGCUCCUCAGUGUCAUCCUCAUCCACACCCAGGGUAAAUUCAUUUGCCAUCUCAGCCACAGCCUUGAUGAUUUCUGCAACCUCCUCACCCUUGGCAAAUCCUUUGAAGUCAUGGACAAACCUCUUGAGUGUCUUCUUCCAGAUGUCAUUCAUAUAUUCCUUAGUGACAUCACCCCAAGCCCAAGCAAGGUUCUUGAUGCAGCCAUAGAUGUUGUGAUCCUUCCAGAAUUGCAUCAGUGUCUUCCUCAGUUACAGCAAUAGCCUGGGCAGGUGCUACUCAGGUGGUAGGCUUUAAAAGCUGCUAACUCCUUCAUCUAUUGCUUGCAUCAAAGAGGUGGUGUUUGGAGGGAGAAGGACCACUUUGAUAUUGGGAUGAAGACCACCAGUAAAAGGAGGAUGUCUGGGAGCAUUAUCAGCAAUAAGCAAAAUUUUGAAAGGUAUGUUAUUCUCCAAACAGCACUUCUCCACUUUGCUGGCCAAGAAAUUCAGGAGGCAUCUUGGAAGAGGAGCUGGGCCAUCCAUGACUUCUUCUUGCUCCUGUAUUACACCAGCAGUGCGUGCUCACUGACAUGCUUGAAGGCCCUGGGGUUCUCCCUGUGCCACAUCACAAAGGGUUUCAAUUUGUAGACUGCAACAUUGACCCCAAGGAAGACCCAAGGAAGGUUAUCCUGUCCUCAAAAGCCCUGAAACCUGGCAUUGACUUGGCCUCCUUGUGGAUGAAAGUCCUUUCAGGCAUCCGUUUCCAGAAUAGGGAGGUUUCGUCCAUAGUGAAUAUUUGCUCUGGCAAGGAAUUUUCCUCCACAAUCAGCUCAUCUAGAGUUUCCAAAAAUUCUUCAGCUGCUGUUGCAUGAGCACUCGCAGACUCAGCACUUUCACAUGAUGUGAUGAAUAAUGACUCCUGAAUCGUUUAAACCACCCAGAGCUAGCAGUGAAUUCAACAUCGUAGUCACAUACAGCCUUUUCUUUCAAUACCACAGACUUCUUGCUUUGGUCAUGAUUGUCAUGGUGCUGAGAGGGAUAUGCUUCUGUGCCUGGUCUUCAAUCCAGGUCAUCAGAAGUUUCCCCGUAUCUGAUGUAGGUCCUUCUCAAAUUUCUAUUAGUCUCGUUGGCUUCAAUGAAGCAGAUCCUUUAACAGCUUCCAUCACUUCCAACAGCUUCCAUCACUUUGUUCUUGUUCCUCAGGAGUGUAGCCCUGGUGGAACGGGACAUGCCUGACUACUGAGCAAUAACCAUCACUGAUUUUCCAC